ensembl:miRNA
CCAGUUGCUGGGUGCUGUUUGUUUUCCUUUUUUAACUCAAGGUUUCAGAGCUAGGGUUUACACUGCAAGGCAGACUGG